rnacentral:rRNA from 1 species
AGUGAACGCUGGCGGUAGGCCUAACACAUGCAAGUCGAACGGCAGCACAGUAAGAGCUUGCUCUUACGGGUGGCGAGUGGCGGACGGGUGAGGAAUACAUCGGAAUCUACUUUUUCGUGGGGGAUAACGUAGGGAAAAUUACGCUAAUACCGCAUACGACCUACGGGUGAAAGCAGGGGAUCUUCGGACCUUGCGCGAUUGAAUGAGCCGAUGUCGGAUUAGCUAGUUGGCGGGGUAAAGGCCCACCAAGGCGACGAUCCGUAGCUGGUCUGAGAGGAUGAUCAGCCACACUGGAACUGAGACACGGUCCAGACUCCUACGGGAGGCAGCAGUGGGGAAUAUUGGACAAUGGGCGCAAGCCUGAUCCAGCCGUACCGCGUGGGUGAAGAAGGCCUUCGGGUUGUAAAGCCCUUUUGUUGGGAAAGAAAAGCAGCAGGUUAAUACCCCGCUGUUCUGACGGUACCCAAAGAAUAAGCACCGGCUAACUUCGUG